rnacentral:rRNA from 1 species
CCUACGGGAGGCAGCAGUGAGGAAUAUUGGUCAAUGGACGAGAGUCUGAACCAGCCAAGUAGCGUGAAGGAUGACUGCCCUAUGGGUUGUAAACUUCUUUUAUAUGGGAAUAAAACGUUCCACGUGUGGGAUUUUGUAUGUACCAUAUGAAUAAGGAUCGGCUAACUCCGUGCCAGCAGCCGCGGUAAUACGGAGGAUCCGAGUGUUAUCCGGAUUUAUUGGGUUUAAAGGGAGCGUAGGUGGAUUGUUAAGGCAGUUGUGAAAGUUUGCGGCUCAACCGUAAAAUUGCAGUUGAAACUGGCAGUCUUGAGUACAGUAGAGGUGGGCGGAAUUCGUGGUGUAGCGGUGAAAUGCUUAGAUAUCACGAAGAACUCCGAUUGCGAAGGCAGUUCACUGGACUGCAACUGACACUGAGGCUCGAAAGUGUGGGUAUCAAACAGGAUUAGAUACCCUUGUAGUC